rnacentral:rRNA from 1 species
AUUGAACGCUGGCGGCAGGCCUAACACAUGCAAGUCGAACGAGUGGCGGACGGGAGAGUAAUGUCUGGGAAACUGCCUGAUGGAGGGGGAUAACUACUGGAAACGGUAGCUACUACCGCAUACCAUCAGAUGUGCCCAGAUGGGAAUAGCUUGUUGGGGGGGUAACGGCUCACCAAGGCGACGAUCCCUCGCUGGUCUGAGAGGAUGACCAGCCACCCUGGACUGGAGACACGGUCCAGACUCCUACGGGGGGCAGCAGUGGGGAAUAUUGGACAAUGGGCGCAAGCCUGACGCAGCCAGGCCGCGUGUAUGAAGAAGGCCUUCGGGUUGUAAAGUACUUUCAGCGGGGAGGCGUUACCCGCAGAAGAAGCACCGGCUAACUCCGUGCCAGCCGCCGCGGUAAUAC